rnacentral:rRNA from 1 species
UACGUAGGGUCCGAGCGUUGUCCGGAAUUACUGGGCGUAAAGAGCUCGUAGGUGGUUUGUCGCGUUGUUCGUGAAAACUCACAGCUCAACUGUGGGCGUGCGGGCGAUACGGGCAGACUAGAGUACUGCAGGGGAGACUGGAAUUCCUGGUGUAGCGGUGGAAUGCGCAGAUAUCAAGCGGAACACCGGUGGCGAAGGCGGCCUUCUGGACAGUGACUGACGCUGAGACGCGAAAGCGUGGGGAGCAAACAGG